GUGCUCACUUUGGCAGCACAUAUAAUAAAAUUGUAUUGAUAACAGGAGAUUAACAUGGUCCAUUUGCAAGAGUGAUAUGAGAAAAAAACAAAAAAGUAUUAUUUUU
rfam:Erinaceus europaeus unplaced genomic scaffold scaffold00821, whole genome shotgun sequence